rnacentral:rRNA from 1 species
GAUGAACGCUGGCGGCGUGCCUAAUACAUGCAAGUCGAGCGAACAGACGAGGAGCUUGCUCCUCUGACGUUAGCGGCGGACGGGUGAGUAACACGUGGAUAACCUACCUAUAAGACUGGGAUAACUUCGGGAAACCGGAGCUAAUACCGGAUAAUAUAUUGAACCGCAUGGUUCAAUAGUGAAAGACGGUUUUGCUGUCACUUAUAGAUGGAUCCCCGCCGCAUUAGCUAGUUGGUAAGGUAACGGCUUACCAAGGCGACGAUGCGUAGCCGACCUGAGAGGGUGAUCGGCCACACUGGAACUGAGACACGGUCCAGACUCCUACGGGAGGCAGCAGUAGGGAAUCUUCCGCAAUGGGCGAAAGCCUGACGGAGCAACGCCGCGUGAGUGAUGAAGGUCUUCGGAUCGUAAAACUCUGUUAUUAGGGAAGAACAAAUGUGUAAGUAACUAUGCACGUCUUGACGGUACCUAAUCAGAAAGCCACGGCUAACUACGUG